rnacentral:lncRNA from 1 species
UUUUUAUAUAAGAAGUGACUAAUAGGAAAUUUAAAAUCGAAUUAAAAAUUAGAAGAACAUAAAAAAUAUAAGGAGUAUUAGUGUACGAUCAUCUAAAGAGAAUAAGAGAUGGUGAUGAUGUCCAAAGGGAAGACGCUCAUCUUUUGGUGACUAGAGAGCAACACACGCAGAGAGGUUGGGAGAGAGAAGCUAGCUCGAGUGAAGACGAUUAUUGAAGGAUUUGAACCCUAGGAAGAACUUGAACAAUAACAUUAAUGGACUUGGUUUGAACACGGUUUUGUCAAGCCCAGCAUUGAAAAGAGAAUGUCACUAUUGGC